rnacentral:rRNA from 1 species
AGUGAACGCUGGCGGUAGGCCUAACACAUGCAAGUCGAACGGCAGCACAGUAAGCGCUUGCUCUUACGGGUGGCGAGUGGCGGACGGGUGAGGAAUACAUCGGAAUCUACUUUUUCGUGGGGGAUAACGUAGGGAAACUUACGCUAAUACCGCAUACGACCUACGGGUGAAAGCAGUGGAUCUUCGGACCUUGCGCGAUUGAAUGAGCCGAUGUCGGAUUAGCUAGUUGGCGGGGUAAAGGCCCACCAAGGCGACGAUCCGUAGCUGGUCUGAGAGGAUGAUCAGCCACACUGGAACUGAGACACGGUCCAGACUCCUACGGGAGGCAGCAGUGGGGAAUAUUGGACAAUGGGCGCAAGCCUGAUCCAGCCAUACCGCGUGGGUGAAGAAGGCCUUCGGGUCGUAAAGCCCUUUUGUUGGGAAAGAAAAGCAGCAGGUUAAUACCCCGCUGUUCUGACGGUACCCAAAGAAUAAGCACCGGCUAACUUCGUG